AGAGUUUGAUCCUGGCUCAGGAUGAACGCUGGCGGCGUGCCUAAUACAUGCAAGUCGAGCGGCAGCACGAUCUUCGGAUUGGUGGCGAGCGGCGGACGGCUGAGUAACGCGUAGGAAUGUACCCCAAAGUGAGGGAUAAGCACCAGAAAUGGUGUCUAAUACCGCAUGUGCUCCACGGAGUAAAGCUUCGGCGCUUUGGG
rnacentral:rRNA from 1 species